rnacentral:sRNA from 1 species
UGUAAAAAAAUGAGUUACGAUGUUGUUGC